AUGGAGAAGGGGAAGGCCCCAGCGGAGGCAGCGGAGUCGGCGGCGGCGUGUGCGGCGCGGCUGGCGCGUGAGUGGAGCACUUGGGCGAUGAAGAACGCGAAGGUGGUCGCGCACUACGGCUUCAUCCCCCUCGUCAUCCUCGUCGGCAUGAGGUCCGAGCCCAAGCCCAGCCUCGCGCAGCUCCUCUCCCCCGUGUAG
rnacentral:rRNA from 1 species